rnacentral:rRNA from 1 species
AGAGUUUGAUCAUGGCUCAGGAUGAACGUUAGCUACAGGCUUAACACAUGCAAGUCGAGGGGAAACGACAUCGAAAGCUUGCUUUUGAUGGGCGUCGACCGGCGCACGGGUGAGUAACGCGUAUCCAACCUGCCCAUCACUUGGGGGAUAACCUUGCGAAAGUAAGACUAAUACCCAAUGACGUCUCUAGAAGACAUCUGAAAGAGAUUAAAGAUUUAUCGGUGAUGGAUGGGGAUGCGUCUGAUUAGCUUGUUGGCGGGGUAACGGCCACCAAGGCGACGAUCAGUAGGGGUUCUGAGAGGAAGGUCCCCCACAUUGGAACUGAGACACGGUCCAAACUCCCACGGGAGGCA